UGUAAAUAAAUCCCAUUAUUUUAAAUUAAGUUAUACAAUGCAUUUAAGGAAUGCAUGGGUUUUAAACUUACAUUGUAUAUAAAAAUAUAUAUUUUUUGACAUCCGGACAAUAGCUCUGACAAUGCAAAUGAUCUGCUCUUAGCUAGUAGAUUGCAGUGCUGACAACCAGAGGAAACGAGAUGUAGACUCAGUAAUCACAAAAACAUCCAUCUAAUUUGUUUUCAAGGAUUAAUAACGUGAUUCAAUCUUACUUAUUAAUGAACUGUGUACCUACAUAAUUGGAUACAGCUGUGACAACAACUUCUGCAUUUAUCUGGUGCUGCUGCUGUAGACAGCUACCACUGUAGCACUGCAGAUCCACUUCCCUCUCAUUUUUUCAGAUGCUUAGCUGCUACACGACUGACCUGAUUUGUUAUGAACCCCUGUUUCUUAUGCCUGUAAAGAUAAAAUGAACUUGGUGAGGAUUUCCUGACUAAACUUUAAGGACUGUCCUUCUUCUGUUUUUUUAGCCUGCAUUCUUCACAAUCACACGUUCUUAAUGCAGCACAGUAAUUAGGCUCAAGAUAGGCUACUCCAUGGGACAACACCGAUAGCACUACCUUUCUUAGUCUUCAAUUCAUCAGGUGUAUCAGCAUCCCUGUCCCUCACUGCCCUCUCCACUCGUCAGUUACAGAAUCUAGGACUCGAGUGGUGCUUAGUCACUCUACAACAAACUCUUCAGAGAACUGGGCAGGCAGGAUCGGUCUUUCUUGUCUCACUUUGAGACCUGGCCUUUAAAGAGUCUUGCCUCAGAAAGCCCCAAAACCACAGAACACACACAUCACCCUGCCGAGCGGUCAUGAGCGAGCCGUAAAUGGUGCCACUGACACCUUACCCAGCGGUGGCUGCAGGGCAGGUUGGGGUCAGAAGGCGUGUUUCUGCUCUUGCUGAGGAUGUGGGCUACGGCAGCGAGCAGGGAUUCUGCCAUCCGCCUGCUCUCGUGCUCUUGGCAGUCUGCAGUGGUAACUCUUUGUCUGGUGGCUCGAAUCCUGCCUGGAUGUUUUUCCACUGCCCUAGAUACAAGGAUGCUUUGACGUUACUUUGGAUCUUACCCAGGGUAGAUGCUGCAACUCUGUUUUUCCCCUGGGAAAAGACGGUGUGUUCUGAUCUGUUCUAGGCACGUGUUUCAAGUUGACUUUUACAUUUGAAAUCAACUAUGCAAGAAAAUUGAAAAAUGUCUUUGUCCCCAGAGUGAGACUAUCUUUCUUUAGAACAUGAACAACACAAACAGGAAUUGUGUUGUUUGUCUUCUGGCUUUGGGAGCAGUUAUAAUGCCAGUAAGAAUUAUGGGAUGUGUUGUCUGUGUCCACAGCAUCUCUGAGCCCGGGACAGCGAAGUGAGCUAUUACAGACCUAUGGACGCUGCGGCAGCUUCUUUUGAACUGCAUGAAGUUGUGCCAGAUCUGAUCAAAAGAAUUUAAGUGUGCUGGAUUUACUCACUUGUGCGCUGUGUGAACAACAGAGUAAGCUGAGCGUGUUCCUUUCCUGCAAAAUCUAGGAGAGGCUUCAGAAACUCAGGGUUUGAAGCACUGGAAAUUGUGCUGAGAAGCACCUAGAGUUUCCAUCCUUUAAGCAAUAAGAUCUCUGGUUCGUGUAUAAGAAGAAGAGAUACCAUUUGCAAUUGAGUGCAUUUGCUUACUUCUCUAUUGGUUGUUGAAAACUCUGCCACUGACGGCUUGUUUUCCUGGUUUGCUUGGCUGGCUUGUGAGGGUUUUAGUCACUGUGUUCGGCUUUGCUGAUGCCCCACUUUGCAUCUAAAAUGUCUUGGCAAAGAGCAUGAAGUGUUUUUCCUCUUCUUCCCCAGAGGCUCUGCGGAAGCUUCUGCACAAGCUAAGUCUGCCUGUCACCAUAUGUUUAAAAAAUAAAAAGCAAUUACCCCUGUUGUCAGGCAGCCGGUGAGUGAUGUGCAUCUUCGCCUUGGAGAAGGUUCCCAGCCCCCGCUAUGCUGCUUGUGCGUGGAAGCUGGGCUCAUAACACUGCAAAAUAUAAUCCAGGAUGGUGCCAUCAGCCUGUGAUUGGCUUUGGAGACAGGAAAUUUAAUGGACUAAGCUCUAAAGUCAAUAAAAGACCGUGUUUUGCCCUUGCUAGUUUUGGCUUGAGAUAAAAGCAACUGUGGGCGAUGUGUUUGAUUGGUAGGAAUCCUACACAGUGGAAAGUACAUUAGCAUUUCAGAUUUAUAGUAUUUCUAGCCCAACGCCAUGUGUCCAAAAAUAGACAGUAAUUUCAGCAGCAACAACAAAACCCAUAUGAAAAGUGAUUAAGCGACAACACGUCCAUGGGGCAGGAUAUUUUUUACUCUUGGGAGUAAGUAGUUGGCUUUUUUCUGUACACUUAGUUUUCUGUCCUUUCUAGUGUAAUGCACAAAUCGCACAUGUAUUUAUAAUUUGCGUUGGUAUUUGCAAACAACGUCUUGAGCUAAUGAGAGUCCGGUAAGUACAAUUCAAGAAGAAAUAUAUCACAAUUGAUAUAUUUUUAAUAUGAAAAAUAAUUCUUUUUGUUCUAUUUUUAGAAGACAAAAAUAAUAAUAAAAAAAGAACAAUGUCUGGAUAAAUAGACCAGUCUAAAGCCAGUGUUCAGUUACACAGAAAUUAAGUUCAAAUAAUUAAGGCUUGGUCACAUUGUAAGUAUCUGAAAACAGCGCUUGAUAAUCAGAGGACUGUGAAAAGGUCAAGCAUCCUUAAUAGUAGCCACAGUUUGAAGCCUUGCAGUGAAGCAUGAAAGCCAACCUCUCAUUUCCUGUGUUGCGAUGUAGUCAUUGAAGGUAUUUCCCAAAUGUACAUUUACAACAACUUCACCUGGCAACGGGAGAAGUGAGACUUCUUUUGCUAGGGACAAAGCCGUACCUUUGAGAAUCACAUCGUGCCUCCGAGCUUUGCAGUCUGGAAGUGAGAGCAGAGAACUGCUGCCUCCUUCCUCCCAGCUGGGCUGUACAAGCGCAGCAGAGACGGGUGCUUUCCUUCUUUACCUGUCUGUCUUCCCCAGCAUCUGCGUUUGCUGUGCGCAGGAGUCCAGGGUGCCUCGGGUCAUCUUCGCCUGACAGUAAGCCACUCACAGCACUGGGGCCUCAGGUGUUUAUACAUCACUCAGAAAGAAAAAAAAAGGGCUUUGCAGAUUUUUGGAGGGAACAGGAAUCCUUCUCUUUACUCAUCUUUUUCCACUUCUGUGUUUCUCUGUCCCCUAAGACUUACUUUCAUCUUUAUUUUGCACAACACUCUUAUGAGAUGAUAGGGAGAAAUUAAAAUUUUUGGCGAGGACCACAGUGGUUGUGUGGAGGAUUACUAAAAUAGAAGCCUAUAGAGAACCAUCUUCUUUUCCUCCUAAAAUCUUUUUGAAUUUACCACCCUCUGCCACCACUAAAGUAGUUAAGAAAGAACCAAAACUAGGAUUGCCAACUCCGGCAGAGAAGUGAAAAAAGGAGAGUUGGGACAACAUUGAAUUGUGCACCUGGAAUCGUACAAAUAUCAAGAUAAAGAUAUAUAUUGUUAGGUACAUGUUUCCAAGUAUCAGUGAAAGAAUUAAUUGCAACCAAAACCGGGGAAGUCUUUUCUAAUAUGCAACAGGUGAUUUAGGUCCAGAGGCGUAAGCUGCUGAUGGAUCCUGGAGGCUGCACCUGGCUUCCUCAGCAGAGCUAUGUGGGCAGCUGCUCCGAGGAAGCAUCUUCUGAAGUUAUUUUAGUUGCUGUCUCAACUUUCCAGGCGAUGUCGUUGCCAUCUAUCUUUGCCAGAAUCAUAGCAGGGCAGAGGUGUGCGUCGUUCCAGUGCAGCCAGCCAUCACAAGCCUCGCGCUGCCCACCUGUAUCUCACCUUCUUUUGUAUCAGGACAGCUACCUGGCUGUCAAACCGCCUGCUCGCACGGAUGCAUCACAACUGUCUGGAUUUCACAGCCAGUUUCAAAGAAGUUAAAGAACUCCAAGCAAGUGCUUUAAAAAUAGGAGUGAAGUGAUCCCAGUUAUCUUCCUUAGCAAGAUGUUCCCGUGCUCUAGUGAAGCAGAACAAAUACUUGGCAGGGGCAGCUACAUGGGUGCCUGGGGGAUGCCAGGUCAGAGACUGGUGCUGCAGAGAUGUGAGCUGGUACAGUUGUGCCAGGGCUGUAGCAUCUGUAAACAUGAGUGUGACAAAUGCUGCCUCGUUGUUUUCCUCACAGUUGCAAUGGUUGAGUUUGUGGUAAUCUUUGUUUCACUCUGUCCAAAAUCAACUGCUUCUCCUGCCACAGGCAGAUGCUGUUGGGCCAACUACUCGCAGCCAGCUCUCCAGCUUUACCCGGUUACUGAUUCAGGAAUAGACAUCUCCAUUCUCUGGAGAAAAAAAAACAAAACAUCAGCUUAAAUCCCUCCAUUUGCCUGUCAUGUGUUGGGCAAAUGGUGCUGACAUUAGGAAAUGUGCAGCACUUGCCACGUGCACUCUGUAACAGCGUGGCGUAGCCAGCAGCCAUCGCGUGCAGGCAGCGCUUCAUAGUGCUGACAGGAUCCUGACAGAGAGCCACGGUACUCCGAAAGGAGGACAAACGAAUAUAAAGGGCCCUUCAGGCUGUUCUCCACACUGCUCCACUACGCGAGAAGAAAAAUCCAUGUCCAACCCCCUUCACCAGCCAUCCCACCACCUGCACCCUCCUUGGAAGCUGCCCUGGCUGUCACAGGCAGCCGCGGCCAGCCCAGGAACGAUCUGGGGCCCUUCAGCCUUGCCUGCCCCCACAACAUCGGCGUCCUGCUGGGCCUUCACCUGUGGGAUGCUGGUUUAAAAAGGGGUCCCCCCACACAGAGCACCGUCAGAGCUUGAAAAGGAAUGUUAAAAGCUGACUGGGACCUCAGCACGGAGUGAUGUGGAACAUUGAUGUGCCCAUGGAAUCUACCUGCCCAUUAGGAAAAGGACACGAAGAGACUUCAAUGGCAGGGCGGUGUUCCUGGCAUUAUGCUGAUGAGCUGCUGUGUGCAUUGUACGACAUCUGUGCAGAGCCUUGAGCAACAGAUGACUAAGUAUCAUCUGAUGUUCUGUUAUUAAAAAGUAGGUGAAUGUGUGUGCUUCACUGAAGGAAGGAAAUGACAAAAUUUGGGCGACACACUUGGAAAGAACUCCAUUGCAAAACCCUUUUUUCCUCUUCAGGGCAAAGGAUUCACUUCUAACAACUUGGUUGUAAUAAGCCAAAAGUCAUAAAAAAGCACAGUCAUUUGCUUUUGAGUCCUUUGGAGUUAUGAUAGUGCGAUAGUGACAGAAAUUUUAUGGGGCAUAUUCCCAGUGUGAAGUUGUGGAGCGGGCAGAAGAUUCCCUGCUAUCUCUAGUAACAAUUGGGUCUCUGUAUGCAGGUAUGUGCCCAGCUGCACUCUGAAUUUAGAAAUCAAGUGUCACUCUCAGCAGUGACUUUGUAAAACCUUGAUUUUUGUAAUGUAAAUCAUCUCCUAACGUGACCUUGAGUGAGGCAGAUCAAUGCAGGACCACUGGAAGCAGCACUCGGUCUCAGCAGCAGCACUGACACCGAGCUGGGCAGCCCUGACUAUGAACACGGCAGUUGACUUCCAUUUCGUCCUGGCACCGAGCUCAUCCUUUUCCUUCAAGGCCCCUCUCCUCUGCUGCAGGUUCCAGGUGAGCCGCUGUGGAGGCAGAGCUGGGUGCUGGAGGUCUACAGGAAUAUUUUGUGUCCUUGGGGGUAUUUUGGUUGUACUUAAGCAGCAGGUUCUUGUGGAGAUGCUGCAGACCACCUGGCUGUUUUGUGAGACAAGGUCACAGAGGCCCCCUGAGCAGGAAUAGGGGUUUACGCUUUGACCAGUCCUUAGCAUCGUUGGGGCCAAGUGGUUGCAGGCUGAGCUGGGGUGAUAUGUUGAGCACAAUGCCUGGUAAUUGCUCACAAAAGGUUCCUGCUCUCAGAGCUAGUAUUUUAAGUAUGUGCAGGGAGAAGAGAAGCUUUUACAUCUUUAAUGCUAUUGUGAUCAUAUAUUGUGAUCACUUUAUGACUUCAAAUAUUCACAUGAAAAACACAGGAAAUAACAGAAAUGCAAAAUAAGCUCAAGAAACUUGAUAGCCUGUGCAUCACUGUAAUUUCCAUUAUUUCCUGGAUUUGCUUAGAUCAGAAAUAGUACAGGAAGUGCUUUUUCUUGUGGUAUUUUUGCUUCCUCUCCCAGCAGAGCCAGAGCAUUACACAACAACAUGAAAAUGAGAAAGGGACCUGUGCUGCUGAUGGCCCAGCUGCAGAGUGCUGGUGUUUGCUGCCUGUGGCAGUCCCAGCGUGGCGGUGGUGGGUGAGGGCUGGCAGCCACACGGGCUGGAAGUGUCCUGGGCACUGCUGGUGCCACAGGGAAGGGCAGGCAGCAGGCAGCAGGAUGUAGCAGGGGUCAAGCACGGGGUGAGCACUGACAUCACUUCUCCUCUCUCCCCAUUAUUUGAAGCGGUAGAGAGGCCAACCAACCAGAGGCACUGCUUUGAAGCUUCAGGGUAGUUUUACAGUAUCUGAAUGAAUCUACCCACCUCCCACACAUGGCCUAGUGAACACCCAGAGGGGUUUAGCCCAUUCCUCAGGCGUCCAUUAUCAUUUUGAGACAUUCUGAGGUCUCAUUUAGAGAGGUGGGACUCCUAUAACCUUCCUGCAGCCAGCCUGCUUGCUGACCAAUCGACAUUUUGUGGGGUGAGCCAGAGCGUAUGCAUUAAAUCCUACAUUAAAGCUCUGCUGAUAGCAUUAUGCUUAUUAAAUAAUACAAACAUUUUUCCUGUUUGCCAAACAAUGGGGAUCCCUAGUGCACACUGGGGAGGUAUGAACUAUAAAAGCCUCUAUUCUUUUUUAAUUAGGCCAUAUCUAAUUAAAAUGAUUGCCAGCCAUUACUAGCAUUUAUAAAGUAUUUUCCAAAUCAGCAUGACUCAUGGGUCUGUAUGGAGACAGAUUGCACCGCAGCCUAUUUGGGAUGUGUUUGCCUUUGCCAUGCAAUUGUCCUUUAUCAUCACAGGCAGGCAGUGUUUGUCUGAGUUAUCGCUUAGCGUGCGUUGCUAGCCUUCCUGGCCUCUGUGGUUUCUCUUUUUAAUGAACUGAUUAGCAUAUUUUGCAUACAUAUGAAAUCUGGGUUUGAGAUCCAGUCUGGGGCUCUGAACGGACAAGUUAAGGCAAAAGUGGAAGCAGGACUGUCUUUAGAAGAUGCUGGUGGGGAAUUUAACAGAUGGAGAUGACAGGGUACUUCAGUAGUCAGCUACAGAAAUCAAUCUGGAGACAUUUUCUGCCCUUCUUUUACUGUGAGUGGGAACAGGAACCAUUGCCUGCACUUCAAGCAGCCCACUCCUACUCAACCCUGGCUGAAGUAGAGACUGCUUCAGAGCAAAGA